GCGUCAAUGGUGCAAACGGUCAGCGUACGCUCCCGCAAAGAGUGAGAUCUGGGUUCAAAUCCCGGCUGACACG